AAACUUUUAACAACGGAUCUCUUGGUUCUGGCAUCGAUGAAGAACGCAGCGAAAUGCGAUAAGUAAUGUGAAUUGCAGAAUUCAGUGAAUCAUCGAAUCUUUGAACGCACAUUGCGCCCGCCAGCAUUCUGGCGGGCAUGCCUGUUCGAGCGUAUUUC
rnacentral:rRNA from 1 species